rnacentral:rRNA from 1 species
UACGUAGGGUGCAGGCGUUAAUCGGAAUUACUGGGCGUAAAGCGUGCGCAGGCGGUUUGCUAAGAGAGAUGUGAAAUCCCCGGGCUUAACCUGGGAACUGCGUUUCUAACUGGCAGGCUUGAGUGUGGCAGAGGGGGGUGGAAUUCCACGUGGUAGCAGUGAAAUGCGUAGAGAUCCGGAGGAACACCGACGGCGAAGGCAGCGCCCUGGACGAGACCUGACGCUCAGGCACGAAAGCUGGGGGAAGCAAACAGG